ensembl:lncRNA
CGGAACUCCUCACUGAGCUAAGUAGGGUGAUGAGUUUUAAGUGAGCUUUACGUGUUCUAACGCAUACCCAGAUGGUCUAACAGUUUGACUCUGGAGUCAGCGGUGAUAAUGACAGAUUCCAAGACUCUCCGUUCCCCGUGUUCUUGGAUUAUUCCCGUGGUGAUGUGAUCCUGCGCUCAGAAGUUUGGACAGUGGCCUCCUGUUUCCCCAGCUUUCUGACUGGCAGAUAGGGGCAACACCAGGCUAAGGCAUCGCUUUUCAUUGUUCCCCGUGGUUCUGCCUCAACCAACCCCGCUGCCAGCUACAGCACUCCAAGGCUCCUCAACCCCUCGCUCCAACUUGUUCAAGGAUUCCUUGCUUCGGAUCCCAGGACAUCUCCAGCCACUCUUCCUUCUGUGUCUAGGAUGUCUACUCUGCAACCUAGUUUAUGUCUACUCUAUGAACCUGAAGUGGCUUCCUGUUGUUUUUGGAUUCAACUCCAAAGUCGUCUUCCACCUCUCACUGGGCCACUGCACCCACUUCAACUGCCUCCCGCCGCACUCAGACCCAUCAUCCUACUUAGUGCCUCCCCAUCUGUCACCAGGCUGUGCUCUCAGCCUGGAAUUUUCUUUCCUCCAAUGUGUCGCUGGAUCGUGUCUAGCAAUUUAUGCUAAUAGGGUAUCUCGCCUCAUGAAAAGCACAUGAUAAAUAUGUGUAGACUGACUGAUUCAAAUUUUAAAAUGUGGAAGUUACUGAUGGGUUGAAAUAAUCCAUGAUGGGCACCUACUGUGACUCUAGCACUGAACCAAACCCUGGGAUCUGAGUGAAUCGCAAGCCACCGCUCCCACCUGGGGUCUGCUCAUAGUCUGGGGGAGAGACAGAAAUGGAAGGACAGGAAUUUGAGUGCAGCUUUAAUCUGAUAAGGAAAUCACUACCAAGCAUCUCUUCUAUGUCAAGAACCGGACUAGAUACUGUGUUCCAUGGAUGAGUACGUGAAAACUGAGUGAUUCCACCAAGAUUAAUUACCGUUAACAGAGGGAGCCUGGAUUGGCAUGGCUUUAUUUUUCUGCUCCAGAGCCUAAAUGUUUUUCGUUUCUUCUUGGUUUUUCCUCCCCAACCCCCAGGCCGCCCCGGAAGGUCUCUGGAUUGGCUAGAACACCUGCAGGUGUCUCCUAUGGCUGGCGGCUGGAAUCUGGCUUUCAUCGGUGCUAAAGACCCAACCUCAGGAAGCAAAAAGAAUCAGGUGUUGGAGCCUAGCAGUCCUGAACCCUAUUUUGUUCAGAUGGCGAGGAACAGGCAUUCCUGAGGACUGCAUCCGUGGCAGCUGAUGUGUCCAAUUUAGCCCCAGAAGGGAAAGGGUUCUCUUUCCUCUACAAUUUGGAGGUGCAGGGGUUUGGGAAAGAUGAGCUAACCCAUUUGCGUUUCACCAUCUGUAAAAUGAGAAUGAAAGUAUCCACCUUGGGCCAGUGAGAUGGCUCGGUGAGUGAAAGUCACUUGUCACUAAGCCUGAAGACCUGAGCUUCCAUCCGUAAGAACUGACUCACUGUAGGUCGUCCUCUCCCCUCCAGCCGUGCACCACGGUGCUCAUAUGCACCCAAGCACUCACAUCCCACACUAAAUAAGUAAACCAACAAACACAAUGGUGAAAGUAAUCUACCCCGGAGACCUCUUGGGCCUUUGCUGUUCUGGAAUCUCUGUUCGUUGAACAUCAGGUGGUUACACAGCUGGUUCUCCUUUUGUAAUAUUAAAGCACAACAUGAUUAAGCUGACCUUGUCACCUAAGGGUUCACCCAAGUGAAGUUCACCUCGUCAGAGUGCAAGGACAUUCUCAGAUCCUUGCCACUGCUCCAGCUCUGGGGCUCCCAGGGUAGCUUCUGAGCCCCACACAAAGCCAAGGCACCAUCCCUGGGAAGUUAGGAUGAAGAGCACCAUCCAAGUCCACCUUCCACCACGGAUAUCGGCUCACAGCAAAACGUCAGCCCAUGGAGCUGAGCCCUUCCUUACACGUGUGGGGUGCUGCACCUGCCCCCCACCCCAGGCCUCCCGCACAGUAUCCCAGCACCGGGGUGACCUCCGGCACCCUUGUUACCACCAGGUCCAACGCACUUGACCACCUGUCCAUCCAGAGCUGAGUAGCCGUCCCAGCCUCCCACACUGCUUAUGGUGGGUCCAGCAGGCUUUCCACACCCCACUCCUAGCUGACUGGACUGGACCAAGUUAAAUGCUCUUCCCUUCAUUAUCCAAAAGAGUUUUAUUCUGACUGAAGUGAACAAUGUGGAGGAGCACAACUGAGCCCUGGCGCAGGAUGAGAAGUUUCUUAUAUCUAAAGAGCUGCACUUCAAAGUGUCCAGUGGACAGGUUCCACUGUAAUUAGGGGGAGGAAUUCGCCAUGUAACUUAAUUAAUAUCAAACCUUUUUUUUUUCUCACUUAAAUACAAGACAGGAAGAUGGCUAAAGAAAGGGUGGGAAGAAGCUACGGACAGAAUCUGACUGGCUCAGUCAUGGGCAGAACAGCCACAAACUUGUUUUCUAGAUGAGUCCUUGGGUCAGAGAAGAACUUGAAUGCCACAGGGCGAUCAAAGAAAAGGACUUCUCCCAUUCCCGAUGCUCUGACCAUUGUGUAAAAUAAAGGGAAGACCUAAGAGAGUUACCUAGAUAUUUCAAAGGAGAAAUGCAAAAGUCGUAUUUUGUAAAAAAAAAAAAAAAAAAAAAAAAGUUUGCAGAAAGUG